GGUUUAAUUCGAAGCAACGCGAAGAACCUUACCUAAGCUUGACAUCCCAAUGACAUCUCCUUAAUCGGAGAGUUCCCUUCGGGGACAUUGGUGACAGGUGGUGCAUGGUUGUCGUCAGCUCGUGUCGUGAGAUGUUGGGUUAAGUCCCGCAACGAGCGCAACCCUUGUCUUUAGUUGCCAUCAUUAAGUUGGGCACUCUAGAGAGACUGCCAGGGAUAACCUGGAGGAAGGUGGGGAUGACGUCAAAUCAUCAUGCCCCUUAUGCUUAGGGCUACACACGUGCUACAAUGGGUAGUACAGAGGGUUGCCAAGCCGUAAGGUGGAGCUAAUCCCUUAAAGCUACUCUCAGUUCGGAUUGUAGGCUGAAACUCGCCUACAUGAAGCUGGAGUUACUAGUAAUCGCAGAUCAGAAUGCUGCGGUGAAUGCGUUCCCGGGUCUUGUACACACCGCCCGUCACACCACGGGAGUUGGAGACGCCCGAAGCCGAUUAUCUAACCUUUUGGAAGAAGUCGUCGAAGGUGGAAUCAAUAACUGGGGUGAAGUCGUAACAAGGUAGCCGUAUCGGAAGGUGCGGCUGGAUCACCUCCUUU
rnacentral:rRNA from 1 species